rnacentral:rRNA from 1 species
AUUGAACGCUGGCGGCAUGCUUUACACAUGCAAGUCGAACGGCAGCGCGGGCUUCGGCCUGGCUGCGAGUGGCGAACGGGUGAGUAAUGCAUCGGAACGUGCCCAGUAGUGGGGGAUAGCCCGGCGUAAGCCGGAUUAAUACCGCAUACGACCUGAGGGUGAAAGCGGGGGACCGAAAGGCCUCGCGCUAUUGGAGCGGCCGAUGUCGGAUUAGCUAGUUGGUGGGGUAAAGGCUUACCAAGGCGACGAUCCGUAGCUGGUCUGAGAGGGCGAUCAGCCACACGGGGACGUGGCCACGGCCCAGACUCCUAAGGGACGCCGCAGUGGGGAACUUUGGACAAUGGGGGGAAACCUGGUCCAGCCAUGCCGCGUGCGGGAAGAAGGCCUUCGGGUUGGAAACCGGUCUUUUGCGGGAAGAAAUCCUCUGGGCUAAUACCACGGGGGGAUGACGGUACCGGAAGAAUAAGCACCGGCUAACUACGUG